UUGAGUUCCAGAGGUAUCACUUGCCUUUCAAACCAAAAGAAUGACUUUUGUUUUUUCUCCUACAGGGUUGGGUACCUCGCCGGAUGUCUAGUUCGCACACUGCGUGAAAAACAACCAGAGCUGCAGAUAACUGAGCGGGAUACGCUCUGUGUUCAGAUUGCGGGACUUUGCCAUGACCUGGGUCAUGGUCCAUUUUCUCAUAUGUUUGAUGGAAGAUUUAUCCCGCUGGCUCGCCCAGAGGUGAAGUGGACGGUGGGUAUUCAUGCAUUUGCUUAGUUGUAGAAAGACUAUUUAAGGAAACCAUUCACUGGAAUUACCUGUUCUUUCUCAUGAAGGUUUUUGAUGUACUUUCAUUCAUGAGUAUGUAAAACAUGCACACAUUUAUUCCAUCCUCACAGUCAUCUACAAGUCCUUUUGUACACCUAAAAGAGCUUGAAGCUUUCAGAAGCUAACCUGUGUAUCAAAAAUGACAAAGCUGGGCUGUGCCUUGAGCAAAGAAGCUCAGAGACAGUGCUCAGGCCCUGAGUUCAAGCCCCAGGACUGGCAAAAUAAAAAUAAAUAAAUCACAAAGCUGUUCCAGGGUGGAGCCUGCACUGGACAAACAGCUUUCUUACUGUUUAUGUUAUCUUAUGUUUUUUGCUGUUAAUGUUAUGUCAACAUUCCUUCGCCUUUGUCACUACUGUAAAAUAAAAAAGAGGGGUACUUUCAUGAAGUAACUCAUACCAAUCA